AUGACCUAUGAGGCAUACGACAUCAAUGGCUACACAUUCUACACCAAGGACAAGGACAUGAAGAGUGAUGGUUACCAAAACUCCGGGCUAACGAUGAAAUCCUACACCGGUAACGACAAGGACAGAUACUACGGAAGGAUCGAGGAGAUCUGGGAGCUGAGCUACGCUGGAGAGAAGGUCCCGAUGUUCCCUGUCAGAUGGGCCAAGAGCGUCCUAAAAGAAGACCGGUAUUUCACCACCAUGGUUAUACCCGAAGCCAAAUCCAAGACCACGGGCGCAAACGUCACCGCGAAAAAUGAGCAAUGGGUACUGGCUUCCCAAGUGGACCAAUGCUUCUUAAUUACCGACCCGUCAAAGCCCAGUCGUGUUGUCGUGAGGAGAGGCAAAAGGAAGAUCAUCAAAAUGGAUGGAGUCGCCAAUAAGCAAGACUUCAACAAGUACGGCGACCCGAAGAUGGAACAUGACGACCACGAUGAAGUGCCAUACACCACAAGAAGAAGCAGGACCACCCUACCUAAAGGACGUCCGUUCAACAGAAGAACUCUGCGAAAAAGAAGGGCAAGAAGAUUGUGA
rnacentral:rRNA from 1 species